UGCGCACGGGGCCACGCCCUG
rnacentral:miRNA from 1 species